AGAGUUUGAUCAUGGCUCAGAUUGAACGCUGGCGGCAUGCCUUACACAUGCAAGUCGAGCGGCAGCGCGGGGGCAACCCUGGCGGCGAGCGGCGUACGGGUGAGUAAUGCAUCGGAACGUGUCCUCUCGUGGGGGAUAACCAGUCGAAAGACUGGCUAAUACCGCAUGAGAUCGAGAGAUGAAAGCGGGGGACCGCAAGGCCUCGCGCGAGAGGAGCGGCCGAUGCCGGACUAGCUAGUUGGCGGGGUAACGGCCCACCAAGGCGACGAUCCGUAGCUGGUCUGAGAGGACGACCAGCCACACUGGGACUGAGACACGGCCCAGACUCCUACGGGAGGCAGCAGUGGGGAAUUUUGGACAAUGGGGGCAACCCUGAUCCAGCCAUGCCGCGUGUGUGAAGAAGGCCUUCGGGUUGUAAAGCACUUUCGGACGGAACGAAAUCGCUCGGGCGAAUAUCCCGCGUGGAUGACGGUACCGUAAGAAGAAGCACCGGCUAACUACGUGCCAGCAGCCGCGGUAAUACGUAGGGUGCGAGCGUUAAUCGGAAUUACUGGGCGUAAAGUGUGCGCAGGCGGCCGAGCAAGUCGAGUGUGAAAGCCCCGGGCUUAACUUGGGAAUUGCGCUCGAAACUACUUGGCUGGAGUGUGGCAGAGGAAGGUGGAAUUCCACGUAGCGGUGAAAUGCGUAGAGAUGUGGAGGAACACCAAUGGCGAAGGCAGCCUUCUGGGCCAACACUGACGCUCAUGCACGAAAGCGUGGGGAGCAAACAGGAUUAGAUACCCUAGUAGUCC
rnacentral:rRNA from 1 species